UACUUCUAUCAUGGAGUCAGUUGUGCUAA
rnacentral:piRNA from 1 species